AAUCAACGCUGGCGGCGUGCCUCAGACAUGCAAGUCGAACGAUUAAAGCUCUCUUCGGAGAGUGUAUAGAGUGGCGCACGGGUGAGUAACACGUAAGUAAUCUACCUUCGAGUGGGGAAUAACGUUCGGAAACGAACGCUAAUACCGCAUAAUGCAGCGGCAUCGCAAGAUGACAGUUGUUAAAGGAAUUUAUUACGCUUGAAGAGGAGCUUGCGGCAGAUUAGCUAGUUGGUAAGGUAACGGCUUACCAAGGCUACGAUCUGUAUCCGGUCUAAGAGGACGGUCGGACACACUGACACUGAAUAACGGGUCAGACUCCUACGGGAGGCAGCAGUCGGGAAUUUUGGGCAAUGGGCGAAAGCCUGACCCAGCAACGCCGCGUGAAGGAUGAAGUAUUUCGGUAUGUAAACUUCGAAAGAAUGGGAAGAAUAAAUGACGGUACCAUUUAUAAGCUCCGGCUAACUACGUGCCAGCCGCCGCUGUAAUAC
rnacentral:rRNA from 1 species